rnacentral:rRNA from 1 species
GCCGAACGCUGGCGGCGUGCCUAAUACAUGCAAGUCGAACGCAGUGGGGACGGGUGAGUAACACGUGGAUCACCUCCCAUCAGAGGGGAUAACACUUGGAAACAGGUGCUAAACCGCUCCUGAUGGAUGGACCCGCGGUGCAUUAGCUCGUGGGUGAGGUAACGGCUCACCAAGGCCACGAUGCAUAGCCGACCUGAGAGGGGGAUCGGCCAGACGGGGACUGAGACAGGGCCCAGAGUCCUACGGGAGGCAGCAGUAGGGAAUCUUGGGGAAUGGACGAAAGGCUGACCGAGCAACGCCGCGUGAGUGAAGAAGGUUUUCGGAUCGUAAAACUCUGUUGUUAGAGAAGCGGUAUCUAACCAGAAAGCCACGGCGAACUACGUGCCAGCCGCCGCGGUAAUAC